UGCCUUAUAGCUCAAUAUAAUGGUUAGAGCGUCUGUCCGGUUAUCAGAAGGUUACGUGGUUCAAUUCCCGUUAGGGCUC
rnacentral:tRNA from 1 species